rnacentral:lncRNA from 1 species
AGCUACUGGAUUGUAUGCGAUCCAACAGUUACAAAUAGCACAGCUCCAAGAACCCCGAAGAUAAAAGGCUGCCACUUUCCUGCAACCCAAGUCCAAGUAAAAGGCAGGAAGGUUCCUGUAAAAUGGUCCAGAAAGAAAUCAACAGGCGAUGACUAUGGAAAAGAACGUAGGUUUCCCAGUCUCCACGUCCGAAAAAUUCUAGCUCUCCCUGGGGAAUGGCACUGCUCCUCCUGCCUUACCCCGUUGCCCUUUCUCUACAGACAACAUUCCCACUCUAUUGUAAAGCAGUUUGACCAAGGAACCCUUCUGCUGCGGCCGGAUUUCUACAGUCUUCUGAAAGGGGAAAAAGCAUUCAAAGAACACACACCCUACCGAGCGCCCCGGGCGCGGGGCCCCGCGGGCGCCGCACUCGGCCCGCUCCGGGGCGGGGCGCGGGGAUGCGGGCGCCUUCCGAGGUGCCGCAAUCCCGCCGCGGCCGCAAGGGCAGGGCCUCCAGGCGCCCGCGGACGCCGCCGCAGUGACGGCUCCCGCCGGGCCCCGCCGCGCCCGCAGCCCGGGCCGCGCCGCCGGUCCGGAGCCGCCACCAGCCCGGGCCCCGUCCUCCGGGCCGCGCGCUGCGGCCGGCGCGAGGCGCACCUUACUUUCCGCCUGCGGCGAGCGCCCCGGCCCGGGCGCCCAGCCUGGCAACGGCGGAGGCUACUGAGGCGGCGGAGGCCGGUCCCGCACCCCUGCCUACGGCCGCCGCGCCCCGCCGCGCUCAGCGCUCGCCCCUACCUCAGCCGGCAGGCAAGCGUCCGUCCGCAGCGGCCGCGGCGCCGACAACUCCCUCCCGGCCGCCGAAACCCGGCACCCAGCGCUAAUCAUAAUACCGAGCGGGCUGCCGGCCGCGGGGAGGGGGGUGCCGGCGAGCUGCGCCUGCGCGGGCUGCGCGUCACUGUGACGUCAGCGCUGGGGCGGGGCCGCGGGAAGGGCGGGGCGGGGCGGCGCGCACCUGCGGCCGGCGCGCGGGCUGCUGUAGGGCAUCCUGGCGGCUCCCUGACCCCGGCGAGUCGGGGCUGCAGCGGCUGGCGGGACAAAGCGGGCAAGGCGCCCAAGGAGGAUGGAGGACGGGGGAGGAGGAAACACCAGGGACACGGAACAAUGGCCGGGAAAAGUAGCGCGAGCUGUCAGGGGAAAUCGGAGGGAAGGGACCGCGUCUCUACAGGACUGCGUCUUGGCGGCAGGGGGCAGGGAGCCGCACGCGCUUUACUCUUUGGUUCCCGCCCAGGCUUAAACAAGGAUAAAAAUAAUUGUAAAAAUACAUACAUAUACACACAUACACGUAUGUAUAUACAUAUAUGUACAUAA